GCGGCGUGCAGUCAUACAUUUUGUAUGUAUAAACUCGAGAUGUUUGCGUAAUGAAAUUGCAUAUUCGUGGAGAUUCACGAGACGUUUCCCGCAAAGACGUAUUAUUGCGAGUAGGUUCGGUGAAAAAUGAAAUAACUGCGUGACGUACCUAUAUUUCCAUUCCGUCGUAGGCAUCUUUUGUUUGAACGCAUCGAUUCCGGGAAAAUAAUCCACCUGUAUACUUUUCGUAUGUGUUGUUUGAAAACGCGAAUUAAUAAGUACGUGAAAAUGGAAUCCGUGUACACGUGAAUGAACAAUAUUUGAACUCGCGCAUACUUAUACGUUAUUAAUGCACGUGAAUACGCAGUGAAAAUACGCGAGAAAUAACGUGAAAUACCUGAAU